rnacentral:tRNA from 1 species
AGCUUGUUAGCUCAAUUGGUUGAGCAGUCGUUUUACACACGAAAGGUUAAGGGUUCGAGUCCCUUACAGGCUA